AAAAAUGAAAUCAUAGGUAUUGUAGAGAGGAGCAGUUACCCUUUGAGCUUCCCUCUACUCUCUGCAACCCUCAUUCUUUGUCUCUGAGAUUUUAGUUUUCUGCUUUGCAUCAGAGAACCAUUUAAAGCAUCAACAAUUCUUAUUUUGCCCACUGACGUACAACUUGAUUCCAUGCUUAGUGAGCCCGGAUCGAGGGUGAACAUUUCAUUAAGGUUGAAACUAUCCUAUUCGUGUGGUUUGAAUUCAUUUUUUAUCAUUACCUGUUCAAUCUAAUCCAAGCUUUGUGUCAAAUUAAUCCGCGUAUCCUUAAAACCACUUACAAAUUCAAUUGUUAUCCGAUUUUGAGGGUAAAUCGUCAUAAACAAGGGCUAUUUUUUCUGUUUUUAUUUUAAUGGAGGAAAAUCAAUGGCGGAUCAGAGAGGGGCAACCACCCUUCAAAGGAAAAUCCCAAUUCUCUCUGUUUUGCCUCAUUUCUUUCUGAGCUAACCUUUUUGCAUUUUUAGGGAAAUUCUCGUGGGUUUUUCACCUGCGAUUUCAAAAUUUAAUGGAAAAGAGCUCGUAAGUCUGCAUUUAAGAAAAUAACCUUCCAAUUGAGGCUCAGAUCUGUAAUAUUUGAAGAUAAGGCAAGAGAUUGGAGAAACCGCCAUGGCUGCAAACACCGGUUGCAAGUCGUUACCGUCUGGGUCGCCUCGCCAAGAUACGGGUCCCGAUUGUUCUCCUGCCCUAAUCAAUUUGCUCAGAGAAAGAAGAAAAAUUAUCAUCACAGCCUCAGAUUUUUGCUACAAUUAUUAUUAUUAUUAUUAUUAUUAUUAUUAUUAUUAUUAUUAUUAUUACUAUUGAUUCUCCUUUUGGGAGUGAGGAUUUGGAGAUACAGUAGAGUGGUCGUUUGGACAUUGUUUACUGCAGAAGGGCAUUGUUGGCAAAAAUGAAAUCAUAGGUAUUGUAGAGAGGAGCAGCUGCCCUUAUUGAGCUUCCCUCUACUCUCUGCAACCCUCAUUCACUGUCUCUGAGCUUUUGGUUUUCUGCGGAAAAUUUUAUUUUGUGUCUUAUGAGACCAGUUGUAAAAUUUCUAUGACCCAUAAGUGUAAGAUUGGGUCCACAAAGUUCCGAGACAAAAAUGAAACUCAUGUUAUGAGACGCAAAAUAAAACUUCUCGUUUUUCCGGCUCUGUGUCAAAGAGAACUAUUUAAAGCGUCAACCAUUCUUGUUUUGCCCACUGACGUACAACUUGAUUCAAUACUUAGGAGCAAAAACUAGUUGAAAUUCAAAGAAGAAUAAGUUUUAGAUUUUUCUAUUUCACAGUACUUACGAGGCUCAGAUCUGCAAAGAGAGAUCGAGCAAAAGAGAGGCGACCGCGCCAUGGCUGCAAAAUCACCGAUUGCAUGCAAAGAAAACACCUUCACAUCGCCGGCCGUCCGGUGAUUUGCCAGGCCAAGAUACGGGUCGGAUAGUCUCUAUGCCGAUCCAGUUAGCCCAGAAUCCGGAUAAAAAUAUCAUCACUGCCUCAAUUGUUAAUGUUGUAUCAAAAAAGAGGAACUAAAAUCACAGAAACAGAAAUCUGGCUGUUGUUGUUGAUUGAUGCUGAAGAAAUGAUUGUAUAGUAGUACGUAUUUCCAUUAAUUCAAGGGCUGUUGAUUUUUUUUCAAAGUGGAAAAGGAAAAUCAUUGGCUAAACAGAGAGUGGCAACCACCCUUUGAACAAAAACCCCAAACUCUCUAUUUUUGCCUCAUUUCGUUUCUGGGCUAACUUUCUUUGCUGGGAAAUCCUUUGGUUUUCACCAAAUGAAUUUCCAUCUUUCCC
rnacentral:lncRNA from 1 species